rnacentral:rRNA from 1 species
UACGGGGGGGGCAAGCGUUGUUCGGAAUUACUGGGCGUAAAGCGUGCGCAGGCGGUUCUCCAAGUCCGUUGUGAAAGCCCCGGGCUCAACCUGGGAAUGGCAGUGGAAACUAGGGGACUGGAAUCUGGCAGAGGGGGGUGGAAUGCCGCGUGUAGCAGUGAAAUGCGUAGAGAUGCGGCGGAACACCGAUGGCGAAGGCAGCCCCCUGGGCUGAGAUUGACGCUCAGGCACGAAAGCGUGGGGAGCAAACAGG